rnacentral:misc_RNA from 1 species
GAAGUGCGAUAAGUAAUGUGACUUGCAGAAUACCGUGAAUCAUCGAAUCUUUGAACGCAUAUUGCACUCUCUGGUAUUCCGGAGAGUAUGCCUGUUUGAGGGUCAGCUAAAAAAAUCAAGCGUUAUUGCUUUUUGUGAUGACGUUUGGAAUUGAGUCGUCUUAACCUCACGGUCAAGUGACUUAAAGUUUUUUAAUGAUUUUCGAAACGUAUUUAAUAUUUACGUACGUUUGCGAUAUCAAUCUAUUAGAUGUGGUCAUUAUCCAUGAUUCGCGUCUAUAGUCUUUCAUUAAAUGACCUCAAAUCAGGUAAGAGUACCCGCUGAACUUAAGC